rnacentral:tRNA from 1 species
GCACUCUUAGCUCAGUUGGUAGAGCACACCCUUCACACGGGUGGGGUCGCAGGUUCGAGUCCUGCAGAGUGCACCA